rnacentral:rRNA from 1 species
GGGUUGUGAGGUUAAGCGACUAAGCGUACACGGUGGAUGCCCUGGCAGUCAGAGGCGAUGAAGGACGUGCUAAUCUGCGAUAAGCGCCGGUAAGGUGAUAUGAACCGUUAUAACCGGCGAUUUCCGAAUGGGGAAACCCAGUGUGAUUCGUCACACUAUCAUUAACUGAAUCCAUAGGUUAAUGAGGCGAACCGGGGGAACUGAAACAUCUAAGUACCCCGAGGAAAAGAAAUCAACCGAGAUUCCCCCAGUAGCGGCGAGCGAACGGGGAGGAGCCCAGAGCCUGAAUCAGCAUGUGUGUUAGUGGAAGCGUCUGGAAAGGCGCGCGAUACAGGGUGACAGCCCCGUACACAAAAGCGCAUGUGCUGUGAGCUCGAUGAGUAGGGCGGGACACGUGGUAUCCUGUCUGAAUAUGGGGGGACCAUCCUCCAAGGCUAAAUACUCCUGACUGACCGAUAGUGAACCAGUACCGUGAGGGAAAGGCGAAAAGAACCCCGGCGAGGGGAGUGAAAAAGAACCUGAAACCGUGUACGUACAAGCAGUGGGAGCACCCUUUGGGGUGUGACUGCGUACCUUUUGUAUAAUGGGUCAGCGACUUAUAUUCUGUAGCAAGGUUAACCGUAUAGGGGAGCCGGAGGGAAACCGAGUCUUAAUUGGGCGUUAAGUUGCAGGGUAUAGACCCGAAACCCGGUGAUCUAGCCAUGGGCAGGUUGAAGGUUGGGUAACACUAACUGGAGGACCGAACCGACUAAUGUUGAAAAAUUAGCGGAUGACCUGUGGCUGGGGGUGAAAGGCCAAUCAAACCGGGAGAUAGCUGGUUCUCCCCGAAAGCUAUUUAGGUAGCGCCUCGUGAAUUCAUCUCCGGGGGUAGAGCACUGUUUCGGCUAGGGGGCCAUCCCGGCUUACCAACCCGAUGCAAACUGCGAAUACCGGAGAAUGUUAUCACGGGAGACACACGGCGGGUGCUAACGUCCGUCGUGAAGAGGGAAACAACCCAGACCGCCAGCUAAGGUCCCAAAGUCAUGGUUAAGUGGGAAACGAUGUGGGAAGGCCCAGACAGCCAGGAUGUUGGCUUAGAAGCAGCCAUCAUUUAAAGAAAGCGUAAUAGCUCACUGGUCGAGUCGGCCUGCGCGGAAGAUGUAACGGGGCUAAACCAUGCACCGAAGCUGCGGCAGCGACGCUUAUGCGUUGUUGGGUAGGGGAGCGUUCUGUAAGCCUGUGAAGGUGGCCUGUGAGGGUUGCUGGAGGUAUCAGAAGUGCGAAUGCUGACAUAAGUAACGAUAAAGCGGGUGAAAAGCCCGCUCGCCGGAAGACCAAGGGUUCCUGUCCAACGUUAAUCGGGGCAGGGUGAGUCGACCCCUAAGGCGAGGCCGAAAGGCGUAGUCGAUGGGAAACGGGUUAAUAUUCCCGUACUUGGUGUUACUGCGAAGGGGGGACGGAGAAGGCUAUGUUGGCCGGGCGACGGUUGUCCCGGUUUAAGCGUGUAGGUGUGUGUUCCAGGUAAAUCCGGUUCACUUUAACACUGAGGCGUGACGACGAGGCACUACGGUGCUGAAGCAACAAAUGCCCUGCUUCCAGGAAAAGCCUCUAAGCAUCAGGUAACAUCAAAUCGUACCCCAAACCGACACAGGUGGUCAGGUAGAGAAUACCAAGGCGCUUGAGAGAACUCGGGUGAAGGAACUAGGCAAAAUGGUGCCGUAACUUCGGGAGAAGGCACGCUGACACGUAGGUGAAGUGAUUUACUCAUGGAGCUGAAGUCAGUCGAAGAUACCAGCUGGCUGCAACUGUUUAUUAAAAACACAGCACUGUGCAAACACGAAAGUGGACGUAUACGGUGUGACGCCUGCCCGGUGCCGGAAGGUUAAUUGAUGGGGUCAGCGCAAGCGAAGCUCCUGAUCGAAGCCCCGGUAAACGGCGGCCGUAACUAUAACGGUCCUAAGGUAGCGAAAUUCCUUGUCGGGUAAGUUCCGACCUGCACGAAUGGCGUAAUGAUGGCCAGGCUGUCUCCACCCGAGACUCAGUGAAAUUGAACUCGCUGUGAAGAUGCAGUGUACCCGCGGCAAGACGGAAAGACCCCGUGAACCUUUACUAUAGCUUGACACUGAACAUUGAGCCUUGAUGUGUAGGAUAGGUGGGAGGCUUUGAAGUGUGGACGCCAGUCUGCAUGGAGCCGACCUUGAAAUACCACCCUUUAAUGUUUGAUGUUCUAACGUGGACCCGUUACCCGGGUUGCGGACAGUGUCUGGUGGGUAGUUUGACUGGGGCGGUCUCCUCCUAAAGAGUAACGGAGGAGCACGAAGGUUGGCUAAUCCUGGUCGGACAUCAGGAGGUUAGUGCAAUGGCAUAAGCCAGCUUGACUGCGAGCGUGACGGCGCGAGCAGGUGCGAAAGCAGGUCAUAGUGAUCCGGUGGUUCUGAAUGGAAGGGCCAUCGCUCAACGGAUAAAAGGUACUCCGGGGAUAACAGGCUGAUACCGCCCAAGAGUUCAUAUCGACGGCGGUGUUUGGCACCUCGAUGUCGGCUCAUCACAUCCUGGGGCUGAAGUAGGUCCCAAGGGUAUGGCUGUUCGCCAUUUAAAGUGGUACGCGAGCUGGGUUUAGAACGUCGUGAGACAGUUCGGUCCCUAUCUGCCGUGGGCGCUGGAGAACUGAGGGGGGCUGCUCCUAGUACGAGAGGACCGGAGUGGACGCAUCACUGGUGUUCGGGUUGUCAUGCCAAUGGCACUGCCCGGUAGCUAAAUGCGGAAGAGAUAAGUGCUGAAAGCAUCUAAGCACGAAACUUGCCCCGAGAUGAGUUCUCCCUGAGACUUAGAGUCUCCUGAAGGAACGUUGAAGACGACGACGUUGAUAGGCCGGGUGUGUAAGCGCAGCGAUGCGUUGAGCUAACCGGUACUAAUGAACCGUGAGGCUUAACCUUACAACGCCGAAG